GUGAUCUGCCCCUUGGCCUCCCAAAGUGCUGGGAUUACAGGCAUGAGCCACCAUGCCCGGCUGAAACAUGUCUAAUGAAUUGACUUCAUUUUACCAUAAUGAGUAAAAGAUAUUAUAAAAACACUGAUAAUCACAGUGGUUUGACGUCCCUUUUCCCCCAUACACAUUAUUAGCAUAACUUUAAAAACACAGUACUCAGAAUGCCAUGUGAUGGAAUUAUAUAACCAGGAAUACGAUCUUCAGUAUUAAGCAUACAGUAGUGAGUCAACAGAAAAUAUUCAGCCAUAGAUUACAAAUUAAUUGAUAAUGUAAGUUGAUGUGGCAGUCUCCACCAAUAUUUCAGUUAGGUAUGUGCUGAUGUAUAUUCUUGUUCUUUAAAGCAACUCCAGAAGAGGCACUGGCCAACAGACUUCAGGGCUAAAGACAAAUUGGGUGUCUGAAUAACAACAAAGCUUGAAAUGAUGAUUUGAAGGCAAUGAAAGAUCAAAAAACUUGAGUCUGAAUAAAAAUUGAAAGCGUACAGUGAAGUCUGAGAUUAUCACAAAACAGAAUAGUGUAUUGACAUAUUUCCAGUCACCUGUUUAACAAAAUAUGCUUACCAGUAUGUUUGUGAUAUAGUUAUAACU